GCGGUGGUGGCGGAAUUGGUAGACGCNNCUCGUGGAGGUUCAAGUCCUCUUCACCGCACCA
rnacentral:tRNA from 1 species